rnacentral:rRNA from 1 species
AUUGAACGCUGGCGGCAGGCUUAACACAUGCAAGUCGAGCGGGGUGAUGGUGCUUGCACUAUCACUUAGCGGCGGACGGGUGAGUAAUGCUUAGGAAUCUGCCUAUUAGUGGGGGACAACAUCUCGAAAGGGAUGCUAAUACCGCAUAUGUCCUACGGGAGAAAGCAGGGGAUCACUUGUGACCUUGCGCUAAUAGAUGAGCCUAAGUCGGAUUAGCUAGUUGGUGGGGUAAAGGCCUACCAAGGCGACGAUCUGUAGCGGGUCUGAGAGGAUGAUCCGCCACACUGGGACGGAGACACGGCCCAGACUCCUACGGGAGGCAGCAGUGGGGAAUAUUGGACAAUGGGGGGAACCCCGAUCCAGCCAUGCCGCGUGUGUGAAGAAGGCCUUAUGGUUGUAAAGCACUUUAAGCGAGGAGGAGGCUCUUUUGGUUAAUACCCAAGAUGAGUGGACGUUACUCGCAGAAUAAGCACCGGCUAACUCUGUGCCAGCCGCCGCCGUAA